UGGGUGUACAAGUUUACUUUUCAUGUUCUGCAGAAUAAGCAUUUUUCUUUCUUUUUCUGCGUUGAACUGCGGAACUCUCCUGAUCUGAGAGCAUGACAUUGCAACGAAUCUGGUGACUCCACAAUAAAAGAGACGUAUUUACCUUGGCUGUUAAACGAGGUUCUUCUCAAUCGAUACAGCAUAACCAAAGUUGCAAAUAUUCUCUUGACACUGAUCGAUGUCAUGUCGAUUUAUCAGAAAAAUUUUAACACACAAAAGAUCCAAGGAGAAAAAGAAAUGGGCCAAUACAGUUGCUUGCUCUUACUAGGUUUCUU
rnacentral:lncRNA from 1 species